rnacentral:rRNA from 1 species
UUGACCUCAAAUCAGGUAGGAAUACCCGCUGAACUUAAGCAUAUCAAUAAGCGGAGGAAAAGAAACCAACCGGGAUUGCCUUAGUAACGGCGAGUGAAGCGGCAAAAGCUCAAAUUUGAAAUCUGGUACCUUCGGUGCCCGAGUUGUAAUUUGUAGAAGGUAACUUUGGGGCUGGUCCUUGUCUAUGUUCCUUGGAACAGGACGUCAUAGAGGGUGAGAAUCCCGUGUGGCGAGGAUCCCAGUUCUUUGUAAAGUGCUUUCGAAGAGUCGAGUUGUUUGGGAAUGCAGCUCUAAGUGGGUGGUAAAUUCCAUCUAAAGCUAAAUAUUGGCGAGAGACCGAUAGCGAACAAGUACAGUGAUGGAAAGAUGAAAAGAACUUUGAAAAGAGAGUGAAAAAGUACGUGAAAUUGUUGAAAGGGAAGGGCAUUUGAUCAGACAUGGUGUUUUGCGCCCUCUGCUCCUUGUGGGUGGGGGAAUCUCGCAGCUCACUGGGCCAGCAUCGGUUUUGGCGGCAGGAUAAAUCUUCAGGAAUGUAGCUUGCCUCGGUAAGUGUUAUAUCCUGGAGGAAUACUGCCAGCUGGGACUGAGGACUGCGACUUUACGUCAAGGAUGCUGGCAUAAUGGUUAUAUGCCGC